rnacentral:rRNA from 1 species
AACCUGGUUGAUCCUGCCAGUAGUCAUAUGCUUGUCUCAAAGAUUAAGCCAUGCAUGUCUAAGUAUAAGCGACUAUACUGUGAAACUGCGAAUGGCUCAUUAAAUCAGUUAUGGUUUAUUUGAUGGUACCUACUACUUGGAUAACCGUAGUAAUUCUAGAGCUAACACAUGCAGGAAGACCCGACUUUGAAGGGUUGUAUUUAUUAGAUAAGAAACCUUCCCCUUCGGGGUUGCGUGCUGAGUCACAAUAACUGCUCGAAUCGCAUGGCUUUACGCCGGCGAUGGUUCAUUCAAAUUUCUGCCCUAUCAGCUUUCGAUGGUAGGAUCGAGGCCUACCAUGGCUUUCACGGGUAACGGAGGAUUAGGGUUCGAUUCCGGAGAGGGAGCCUGAGAAACGGCUACCACAUCU